ACGCUCGACACCUACUGGAGGCAGCAGUAGGGAAUUUUCGGCAAUGGGGGGAACCCUGACCGAGCAACGCCGCGUGAAGGAAGAAGGAAUUCGUUCUGUAAACUUCUGUUAUAAAGGAAGAACGGCGGAUAUAGGGAAUGAUAUCCGAGUGACGGUACUUUAUGAGAAAGCCACGGCUAACUACGUGCCAGCACGCCGGACGGUAAUCUGAGGCCGGGCGUGGACGAAGGC
rnacentral:rRNA from 1 species